rnacentral:rRNA from 1 species
UACGGAAGGCAGCAGUGGGGAAUAUUGCACAAUGGGCGAAAGCCUGAUGCAGCUAUGCCGCGUGUAUGAAGAAGGCCUUAGGGUUGUAAAGUACUUUCAUCGGGGAGGAAAAAACAAAACUAAUAAUUUUAUUUCUUGACGUUACCCGAAAAAGAAGCACCGGCUAACUCCGUGCCAGCAGCCGCGGUAAUACGGAGGGUGCUAGCGUUAAUCAGAAUUACUGGGCGUAAAGAGCACGUAGGUGGUUUUUUUAAGUCAGAUGUGAAAUCCCUGGGCUUAACCUAGGAACUGCAUUUUGAAACUGAAAUACUAGAGUAUCGUAGAGGGAGGUAGAAUUCUAGGUGUAGCGGUGAAAUGCGUAGAUAUCUGGAGGAAUACCUGUGGCGAAAGCGGCCUCCUAAACGAAUACUGACACUGAGGUGCGAAAAGCGUGGGGAGCAAACAGGGAUUAGGAUACC